AUACUUGCUUAGCAGUACAUAUAAUAAAUUAGAUACGAUACAGAAGAUUAGCAUGGCCCCUGCGAGAAAGGAUGUGCAUGGAAAUUCGUGAGACCUUUCCAUAUUUU